rnacentral:lncRNA from 1 species
CGCUUCUUUUAUUAGUUUUUAUUAGUUUUUCAAAAGUAUCAGAAAUAACAGAAUGUUGGGAGAAGAUAAAUCUGCCUUUUGAAACCAAAUAUUUAAUAUUUUCAUUAAAUUGUUUCAAUACAACUUCAGGCAAAUGCCAACUGGAAGACCAAGCCCAGAAAUUCAGAGGAAAUAAUCUUCCAAACAAGGAACACCAAGGUGAUCUUCUUCCAUUCCAGCCACAAUACUGGUGAUCAUAAUGGUGCUAGUCAGUUAUCCAGAUUAUCGAGUGUUUACCUGAUAAGAGAAAAACUUAGAUUUCAAAACCUGUAAUGACAGAAUUUUAAAGCUGGAAAAUGUUUAAGGCAAUUAAUAAAAGGAAAACCUGUAUUAAGAACUGCUGUCACCUUGAUGACUAGCAAAUAUUUAUCAAAAGUAAAAACUUGGCCAGGCACGUAUUUGUAAUCAGCUUAUGGCAGAAUACAUUUUGAGGAUUCAUCUCAUCUUCCUUCAGAUGUCAAAAUGGUACAAUCUAGUUAGGAGCUCUGAGAAUUGCUAUUUCCUCCAUUCCUAAAACAGGACAAGCAGCAACAGAACUGUCUAGAUCUAAAAUACUGAUGGAGGAGUAUCCUUUUUCCAAAAUGAUUAGGACCAGAAGUGUUUUGAAUUUUGGAGUAUUUCAAAUUAGGAAUGCUCAAUUUACAGAUAAUUCACUUAUUUGUUUACUCUGUCUAGUAUGUAAUCUCUGAGAGCAAAGACUUUUGUUCACUAAUGUGAACAUGGUAGAUAGGUGGCCCGCCAACACCGCCAAAAGGGCAAACCAC